rnacentral:lncRNA from 1 species
AAAGCACACACAUUUAUGAACACCCAUGAGGUUCCUGAGUUACAGUUUAAUGUCUCAUUUGGUAUUCAUUAGACCAUGACAGCCAAUAUUUCUUCAAUUUAGAGUGAUUCCACCUUGUGUAAAAAAAAUAAAAAAAACAAAAAACAGAUAAUGCUAAGAAUCAGUGAACUGCUCUGAGCAUUUUUUUCUCUUCUCAGAAGGAUUUUUUUUCUUGUUGCUAUUAGCUUUGUUAGGAUGAUGCAAUUGAAUUACAGAAAUUACAUUCAGUAACUCUUGUUUGCAGCUAAAUUAUGCAGAGACAAGACUUAGUCAAUUGGAAAACUGUCAUUGUGAGAAGACUUGUCAAGUGAGUGGACUGCUCUAUCGAGAUCAAGACUCUUGGGUAGAUGGUGACCAUUGCAGGAACUGCACUUGCAAAAGUGGUGCCGUGGAAUGCCGAAGGAUGUCCUGUCCCCCUCUCAAUUGCUCCCCAGACUCCCUCCCAGU